UCAUCAGAAAUGGCUUCUCCGUCGACCCUCUGCUCCAACUCAUCGAACCAAGAGUUCAGCUUGUCACCUUCCUUGUCAAAGUUGCAAGUACAUUUCGAGAAUCUCUUCUUAGCUGAAUUGAGCAGAAAAGAAGGAACUGCCUUGCUGCCAACAGGUACAUAAAAGGUCUUGCUUAUGGUCUUAAAUCUAAUACUACAAGGGCAACACAAAGGAGAACGGCAGAGUUAGAA